CCUACGGGUGGCUGCAGUGAGGAAUAUUGGUCAAUGGGCGUACGCCUGAACCAGCCAAGUAGCGUGAAGGAUGACUGCCCUAUGGGUUGUAAACCUCUUUUAUAAGGGAAUAAAGUGAGGCACGUGUGCCUUUUUGUAUGUACUUUAUGAAUAAGGAUCGGCUAACUCCGUGCCAGCAGCCGCGGUAAUACGGAGGGUCCGAGCGUUAUCCGGAUUUAUUGGGGUUAAAGGGAGCGUAGAUGGGUUGUUAAGUCAGUUGUGAAAGUUUGCGGCUCAACCGUAAAAUUGCAGUUGAUACUGGCAGCCUUGAGUACAGUUGAGGUAGGCGGAAUGCGUGGUGUAGCGGUGAAAUGCAUAGAUAUCACGAAGAACUCCGAUUGCGAAGGCAGCUUACUAACCUGCCACUGACAUUGAUGCACGAAAGUGUGGGUAUCAAACAGGAUUAGAUACCCUGGUAGUC
rnacentral:rRNA from 1 species